UGGGAUAACAGAGGGAAACUUCUGAUAAUACUGGAUAAGUUAGUAUAUCGCAUGAUAUGCAAAUGAAAGCUACGGCACUAAAGGAGAGCUUUGCGUCCUAUUAGCUAGUUGGUAAGGUAAGAGCUUACCAAGGCGAUGAUAGGUAGCCGGCCUGAGAGGGUGGACGGCCACAAGGGGACUGAGAUACGGCCCUUACUCCUACGGGAGGCAGCAGC
rnacentral:rRNA from 1 species